UCCAUUGUAACUCCUGAAUUACCUUUCCAAUUACCUCUUGUCUCGUAAAGCCAAAUGCUACCUCCGGCCACCAUCUUCUUUGCCAUCGCUCUAAGAGAAAUGUCCCAUCCCAUUGGUAAUUCUUGGCUCCCCUUAACCAUCUGGAUAAGGCAAAAGCUUUCCCCAUGACCUAGCCUACCACACAAAAAGCAGAACGUGGUUAGUUUUUCAUAUUUAAACAAGGAAAAAGUUUUCUUUUUUCUUGCCAAUUAUAAGCUUAUUCUUCCAUUUUAGUGGGAGUCAAAUGUCUAUCAAAACCUGGAUUCGCAUAAAAUUUUUUAAACUUGCUGCCACAACCUUCACAUCAUAUUCAUACAGAAGGUUAUGUAUUUGCACCUAGAAAGUCAAUUUCAACAUAGGGACUUUUAAAGGACCAGCACCGAUCUGUAAAACAUCAAACAUUAAUAAGUGAUUGUUAAAGGUCCAAGGAGACCCCUGUACAACUCUAGUCAUAUCAACCUCGCAAUAAAAGCGAAAAAGAAAAUAUUUGUCCCUAAUAUCAGUAAUGGUGACUCCACCAAGGGGAUGCCAAAGAUUUGCUAGAACAUUAUUAUGGAUUGAAAAUUCACGGUAGUAGCCGUCAAAAAAUGUUAAGAGUAUGAAUUAGAAAUGUGUUAGCUAAGUUCUGUUAUUGAGCUAAGUCUAUUAGCUGUUAGUUUGUUACUUCAGCAGUUAAGUUGUUAGCAAUGACAGUUAUUAAUGUACUUUAUAAAUACCAUAGUGUAAAAUAAGAACAGAUGAUAUACAAAGAAUUCAUUCAUACUAGAUAUACUUUCUAGUUUUAUAUUUUUAAUAAUUGAGUUAGUUUUAUUCUUUUAUCACACAAUACAUUUAUUCACCAAAGGUGUUAACAUGGUAUCAAUCGCCUCAGGUGCUGGAGACUUGUGUUCAUGGCCACCACGACUUCUACUGAUUCUGCCUCUAUCGAACAUGGAGGUUCAAUGUUCACCGGUGCUAGGCUCGUUUACUCGUUUUUGCGUCAUGAGACUGUCAAAUUGGAUGAGGGCACGUUUGUCCAGUGGAAGCAACAUGUUAGGUUGAUAGUUGAAGGAUACGAGCUAAUUGGUUUUUUAGAUGGAAUGGUACCUGCUCCACCGCGAUUUGUGCAGUUUUUAAAAGGCUCGCUUGUUUUGAAUUCGGAUGCCUCGGCGUUUAUUCAGCAAGACCGGUUACUCACUUCUUGGCUACUGUCCAUAAUUAAUUCCUCACUUCUUUCAUCGUUUACAGAGGCUUGAACGAUGUGUGAUGUGUGGAACACUGCCACUUGUCUCUUCGCUGCCGUUACAGGUACAAAACUUUCCCAACUUCGUCAUGAUCUUUAUUCAAUGAAAAAAGGCAGUUUAUCAGUCACGGAGUAUAUAGAAAAAAUUAAAAACAUAAGUGUGUUGAUCGAAGCUUCCGGAUCUCAAAUCUCAGAGGCAGUGAAAGCAGAAAUUGUGCUUGCAGGCUUACCUCAAGAGUUCGAUUCUGUCAUCACCCUCGCGUCGCUCUCGUCGAAGCCUCUGCCGCUUCAGCAUUUAAUCGAUGUGCUGCUUGAAUAUGAGAGUCGGCCGGUGCGUGUGGUAUAGGAUGUACCUUUUUGUGCAAAUAUUUUGAAGCUACUUCGUCGUAGGAGGGCUCUGUUCAUGGUGAUCAGUUCUCGUCUGGAGGCCGCAGUCGAGGGUUUUGAACCCGUCUUCAAUGUUAGAUCUGCGGAAGAUUCAGACAUUGAGCCCAGAGAUGCUUCUUCUGCUUUAAUCAUGAGUAUGUUGACUCCUCAUCAAGUGUACGAGUGUCGAACCUGGCGGACCAUCAUGUUCGUGGUGCGUUGGGUCCGUCACCUCUUCUUGGAUCUGUCUUAGUGGAAUCGCAGGGUCCUUUGUUGGGAGAACAGGUUGGGCCGUGUGCUGAGUCUCGCUAGUUUUAAAAUGAUAGGGCUUCUAAUCCAUCCUUACAGGGAAAUGAUGGUCGAUUUAGCUGUGGGCCUUAUAAGGGUCAAU
rnacentral:lncRNA from 1 species